GUCUAUGGCCAUGCUACCCUGAACGUGCCCUAUCUCGUCUGAUCUCGGAAGCUAAGCAGGGUGGGGCCUGGUUAGUACUUGGAUGAGAGACCACCUAGGAAGACCAGGUGCUGUAGGCA
rnacentral:rRNA from 1 species